AUACUUACCUGUUCAUGGAGAUACCAUAUCAAGAAGGUGUUCACCCAGGGCGAGGCUUAACCCUGCACUCCGGUUAUGCUGACCCCUGCGAAUUCCCCAAAUGUGGGCAUCUCGACUGCAUAAUUGCUGGUAGUGGGGGGACUGCGUUCGCGGCGCUCAUCCCCC